GGUGGAGAUUCAACCGCCGAGAGAGAUGAAACGGCGCCGAGCUGCGAGGAACGAGUUAAAGGCGACAUUUUUCUGGAAAUAAUCCUCCGUUGUACAUCUAGUCUUCGGUUCUCCCAAGUAGAUACGAGAGUGUGCGUCUACGUCUGAGGCGUCCUUUCUGCAUCAGACAGACUCGGCCCCGGACGGGCAGACUCGGCCCCCACCCAAUCCCCUCUGACAACGCCAAUUGGCCUCCGCCCGCC
rnacentral:lncRNA from 1 species